rnacentral:pre_miRNA from 1 species
GGUUUCAACUGAAAAAGUCACCAAUAACAAAGUUAUAUAACUCAUCAAUAUCUGUAAUUUUUAUUUUGGUCAUUUCUUCAUAUGACAAAGUGAUACUAAUAUUGUUCACAAAAAGUACAUUUUGUGAACAAUAUUAGUAUCACUUUGUCGGAUGAAGAAAUGACCAAAAUAAAAGUUACAGAUAUUGAUGAGUUAUACAACUUUGAUAUUGGUGACUUUUUCAGUUGAAACC